GGCAGGUCCCAUGAGACCAUGCAUUGGCAAGGACAGGAAGAGCGGAAAAGGCCCAGAGGAAGCUGCUCCAGCUGUGACCUCGGAGCAGUUGAAGAGGCAGGAGUGGCUCAGGCUAGGAGGUGGGAAGAGAACUGGGUCAUCUUCCUCUGAACUCCUCAAGCUCCCAGAGCUCUUAACCUGAUUGCAGUACUGUCCCGUCUUGUACUUUGGCUGUAUUUGGUCUUACUUCCCAGUUAAUUUUCCUAGACCGGAAGUCCUGUGUUGGGUCCCUUUCUCCUUUUUGCAUUCAGUACCUCCUGGACCCUACACUCACCAAGAGAAGAGACCCUGUUUCAGAAUCUUGCCCACAAUCUGGCCAGAAUGCUUCACACCUUAAUGACAAGAGAUGGGGUCUCACUAUGCUGCCCAGACUGGUCUUGAACUCCUGACCUCGAGUGAUCCUCCCACUCCAGCCUUCUAAAGUACUGAGAUUCCAGGUGUGAGCUACCAUGCCAAGCCAUGAUAUUGUUUUUCUGAAUGAAUGAAUGAAUGAAUGAAUGCCUAAUGAAGUCAGAUGGAGACCAGAUCAGGGAAGAGAAAGGAGUUCUCAUUGGUUCUCCAGCAAAGAAAUCACUGUGGCUUUGACUCCACUGCAGCCUUGUUUUCCCAGGAGGAUGUCAAGUCUAGCUCAUAUUGGGAGAGCCAAGAGAUGGAGGGAGGGAGACAGCCAGUGUUUGUGCAUCCAUCCACAUCAGAGGAAAUGCCCUUGACAGGGUCAAACUGGUGCCUGUUGGGCAUGGCCUUGGGUACUUGUCAUUCCCAAGGCAUUCCCAUGAAUCAGAAGCAGGGAUGCAGGGAAAGGCACUUAUCUCAGACGCUAGGGAUGGAGGGAAAGACUCGUCUCUGAGGCUAGAGGAUGGAGGGAAGGGGAGGGGAGCACUGUGGCCAGAGACAGCACCUAGGCUGACUAAUUAAACCCUUUGGUAUCUGGCCCCCUCCAGCACAAGCAGAUUAUCACUGCUGAAUCAGCUUCCUGCCAAAACCAGACUCACACUCUUUUUUUUUUUCCUGCUUGAUUUGCUUAAUGGAAGCUGACAGUGAAGUUCAACCCUGAUUGUCAGAUUUCAGUAGGAACCUCAAGAGGGGAGAAGAAGGCAGACAUUUGAGGAAUAAAAAUAGCACACAUAAUGAGAUCCUUUAUUUAGCUAAACCACUUAUUUAAUAUUUCACCCAUCUCUCACACACACACACACACACACACACACACAACACACAGAGAAUUGUGCACACAAACAUCUGAUUUUCACUUAGUCCCCAGAGUCCUGUGGGGAAGACAGGACAUGCAUCUUGGAUAGUAGGAAUCUGCAAAAGGGAUGUCCCUUUUUUUUUUUUUUUUUUUUUCGAUGGCGUCUUGCUCUGUCUCCUAGGCUGGAGUGCAGUGGCAUGAUCUCGGCUCACUGCAACCUCCACCUCUGGGUUAAAGCGAUUCUCCUGCCUCAGUCUCCUGAGUAGCUGGGAUUACAGGCGUGCACCACACCCGGCUAAUUUUUUUGUGUUUUUAGUAGAAACAGGGUUUUGUCAUGUUGGCCAGGCUGGUCUUAAACACCUGACCUCAAGUCAUCCGCCUGUCUUGGCCUCCCGAAGUGCUGGGAUUACAGGCAUGAGCCACCACGCCCGGCUGGGAUGUCCUUUAAUGCUGAAGCUGAGAACAUCCCCCAGCAUUCUUCCAACUGGCCUCCCUGCUCCCCACUCUCUUUCAAUAGAUCCAUUUUCCAAAGGGUGGCCUGGGACACUGGUCUGGAUGGCAAAAUUAAAUACAUAGGGGAGUAGUGCCUGUGACCUUGGAUAGACCCUUGACAUUCUGUGUUCCUCAUUCAGUAAGAUGAGGCCUGGAGGGUUUGGUUUAUUUCCUGAAGCCUGAGCGGCUCAUCAGAGACAGCUGCAGUAGAACUCACCUCUUCGAUGUGAGAAGGAAAUAAGCUGGCAUAGGUAAAGCCUCUCUCUACGCCCUGUCAUGUGGUAUAGGGACUAUACAUGUCAGCUCCUUUCUUGCUUUGAAGUGUUAAGUUUUUGUGACUUUACAGGGAGUUUCCCAGUAUUUCUAAGUGUCAGAGUUGAAGCUCUAGCUCUAAAAAGGAAGCUUGGAAUCUAAGCAUGGAGGCUAACAUCAUUAAGUGCCACAUGUCAUGCACUGUACCCCUUAAAAAACAGGGUUUGUAUAAUCCCAGCACUUUGGGAGGCCGAGGCGGGUGGAUCACGAGGUCAAGAGAUUGAGAUCAUCCUAGUCAACAAGGUGAAACCCCAUCUCUACUAAAAAUACAAAAAUUAGCUGGGCAUGGUGGCGCAUGCCUGUAGUCCCAGUUACUCGGGAGGCUGAGGCAGGAGAAUUGCUUGAACCCAGGAGGAGGAGGUUGCGGUGAGCUGAGAUCCCGCCAUUGCACUCCAGCCUGGGUAACAAGAGCAAAACUCUGUCUCAAAAUACAGAAAACAACAGGGUUUGUGGGCUCACGCCUGUAAUCCCAACACUAUGGGAGGCCGAGGUGGGUGAAUCACAAGGUCAGGAGAUGAAGACCAGCCUGGCUAUCAUGGUGAAACUCCAUCUCUACUAGAAAUACAGAAAAUUAGUUGGGUGUGGUGGCAUGCACCUGUAGACCCAGCUAUUCGGGAGGCUGAGGCAGGAGAAUCGCUUGAACCCAGGAGGUGGAGGCUGCAGUAGGCUGAGAUCAGGCCACUGCACUCCAGCCCGGGUGAUAGAGUGAGAUUCUAUCUCAAAAAAAAAAAAAAAAAAAACAGGGUUUGUUUGCCUGGCCAGUAACAAACAGCUCUCCAGGAAAACACAGGUUUGAUCAAUAGGAGUUUUAUCACUUGUGACAAAAAAGGACACUGGGAGUGUUCUCCAAAGCAGUGUCUCCCAAGGGAAACUGACAGGAGGGUUUUAUGGGGUGAUGGAGGGUGGAGUGUUCGUCAUCACAAGCAGAGGAGGGGUCCCAAUGGUGCAGGUGCGAAAUCCGUCAUGCCAGCACAUAGGUCGCAUGUGAUGGCAGCAGAGCUAUGACACCUCCCGGGGUGAAGACUUCAGCAUGGUCACAGGGAACGUUCACUCAGGUUUAUGUCUAAGUUGCUGGGGUCUGUCAGAGCUGUUUUGUUGUUGUUGCUGCUGCUGCUGCUGUGUUUCUGAGAUACAGUCUCACUGUAUUACCCAGGCUGAAGUGCAGCGGCUCACUGCAACUUCCAUCUCUUGGGUUCCUCCUGCCUCAGCCUCCCAAGUAGCUGGAAUUACAUGCGUGCACCACGACACCCAGCUGAUUUUUGUAUUUUUAGUUGAGAUAGGGUCUGGCCAUGUUGGCCAGGCUGGUCUCAAACUCCGGACCUCAAGUGAUCCGCCCACCUCAGCCUCCCAAAGGGAUUACCGGCAAGAGCCACCGCGCUGGGCCCAAGAGCUGGUUCUAACCAACCAGGUCACUGCAUUCUACACAGAGUUUAGGAGUGCAGGAGGCUGUGAAACAGGCUGAUUGCUCAGGUUGACUGAAGUCCCUGGAGACCCUCCCUGUCUCCUUACAGUACUAUCAGUAUCUAAGGGCUUAACAGGUAUUAAUUUGGGUGAACCUCAUCACAGCCCUGUGAGAUGCAGAGUCUUGUCCCACCUUACAGAUGAUGCAACUGAGGCACAGAAGAGUUAAGUACCUUGCUGCAAGUUGUCACGGUGAGUCUGUGCUGAACCUCCGCUCCACACUUCUGACACCAAACGUGUGUGAGUUUUCCACAUCCAGCAAUUCUCCAGUUCUCUGUGUAUGGGAAGCAGAAAAAUUCCUUUUUAAAGUCCCCUUUCUUCUUUAAGUGAGCUGAUAACUUUGUUAAGCCCUAUCCUAUGUAGGUGUGAGACACGCCAUGCAUACAGGCACGUAGUACAUUCUACAUCCUUGUACUUUAACCAAGAUGUCUGUGCUGGACCUGCUCACGGGCAUGUCCCCGCUCUCUCCAUUGCUUUUACCUGUUUUAAGGUAGAAAAGUUUAAUAGAAAAGUUUUAAGUUGUUAGCCAGUCGGGUUUUAGUUUAGACUGUGAGGUCUGGCUCCAACCAACGGAGAUCAGAUACAGCAGUAAGGACGACCCCAAAUGCAUAAGGAAUAAAUUUGUGUUUUCCUUUGUUCAUUGUAAUCUCAUGGCACAAUAGCUAGCAAGGGUGCCCUUCCCACAGCCCAGCAAGUACAAAUUGCGUUGCUGGAAGAUCCUUUGUCUCAGUGCUGACUUUUUCCUUGUGGCACCAAGCACCUAUUUCCAACCCUGUGGAUACCAGUUUGGUGGUUCACAUGUGUUUACUGCAUUUGUUGAUUUAUGAUAAAAGAUUUAUUUCAUUAUUUUAUUUCAGUUGCUUUAGAGAGCGGGUGGUUUCUGGUUACAUGGAUAAAUUGUUUAAGUUCUGGGAUACAUGUGCGGAACGUGCAGACCUGUUACGUAGGUAUACCUGUGCUGUCGUGGUGGCUUGUGGCACCGACCAACCCAUCAUCUAGGUUUUAAGCCCCACAUGCAUUAGGUAUUUGUCCUAAUGCUCUCCCUUCCUUUGCCCCCUACCUCCUGACAGGCCCCCCGUGUCUGAUGUUCCCCUCCGUGUCGUGUGCUCUCACUGUUCAACUCCCACUUAUGAGUGAGAGCAUGUGGUGUUUGAUUUUCUGUUCCUGUGUUAGUUUGCUGAGAAUGACAGCUUCCAGGUUCAUCCAUGUCCCUGCAAAGGACAUUAACCCGUUCUUUUUUAUGGCUGCAAUGGAUAAAUUCUUCAGUGGUGACUUCUGAGACUUUGAUGCCCCCAUCAACUGAGUAG